rnacentral:rRNA from 1 species
CAAAGAGAAGCGAAGCGGUGACGUGGAGCAAACCUCAGAAAGCCAAUCUCAGUUCGGAUUGUAGGCUGCAACUCGCCUACAUGAAGUUGGAAUCGCUAGUAAUCGCGAAUCAGAAUGUCGCGGUGAAUACGUUCCCGGGUCUUGUACACACCGCCCGUCACACCACGAGAGUUUACAACACCCGAAGUCAGUGGCCUAACCGUAAGGAGGGAGCUGCCUAAGGUGGGGUAGAUGAUUGGGGUGAAGUCGUAACAAGGUAGC